UAAUUCUUUUUCUAAUUCUAACUGUGGAAUCGAUACGCAUGCGCAGAGGGACAAUAAUCAGCUGUGCCCUGUUUACAGUAUGAGGUUGAGUAAAAAUAACGAAAGUAAACCCGGAAGAUUAUUUGUUUCAUCAUAUGUGAUAUACCCAAAUUGAAAUUGUAUUCAUUCCGCGCGGGAGAGGAAAAUAAAUUAAAGUGGAACAAAUAUUGUGGCACAUUUUUAUUCCCGAAAAAAUUGAAAAAAAAACACUUUGUGUAUGUACACGUAAGGGGAGAACGAGGUGGUUAGACUUUUACCAUUUUUGUGGAGUAGGUAGUGGAACAGCACAUGAGGACUCCGAGUUUCACCAGAGAUGUCCUCGAUGAACGCUCCUCACAUCUGAUGGUAGAGUAUUGUCAUCUCGUUCAAAGUUGUGCGCCAGGAAGGAAGGGCCGCUUUCGAUUUAGGUCCAGCAAACGUAAAACGUGGCGAAAGCGUCUCCUUCUUCGGACUUCCGUUGGGCUUCCAAGCCUAUUGUGAAAGUGAACCUUUGGGACAAUCGCUUCUAUGAAAUCGCUAAUUAUUCAGGAACGGGGAGUUCCACUCUGGAUAUUUAAACUCACGAUAUGCAUCACUAGUCUCACGAAGACGUUAAACAUCUUUUAAAUGGCCCUCAAUAGAGAUUGUACGAUUGUAAAAGGCUAUCCACGAAUCCUCGAGUUGGCAAUUUAAAAGGCAAAAAACAAAAUGAGUCAUAAAUUUAACAUUUGAAUAAACUAAGAUUGAAUACAAAAAACCACGGACAAGCGCACUUGGAAAAUUCAAAUGGAAUUGUGUGAAACACGCUAUCAAAGUUCGAUGCUUAAUUGAGAAGCCUUGAACCAAUGCUUGUGUAACAAAAUUCAUAACAAAAAAUUCAAAUUCAUUCAAAGUAAAAAAUUGAAAUAAUGGUAAAUGCAGAUAACGAGACGAUAAACGGCUGUAAGAGUUCCGAAGCAAAGGGAGAGAAUGCUCCACCCACUGUUUACAAUUAAUCAUUAAUUUUUUUUUGCUGAUUAUAAUAUGGCCAGAACAAUAACGAGAACCUGUAGUAGUAGCUGAUAUUUGUUAAGGUGAUAAUGAUGAUUCAAAUCAUUAAAAAAUAUGUAAAACGUCAAGUUAUGUUUUAUUUUCUCGUUACUUACUAAUCAAGGAUUCAGGAAGUUAUGGAAUUCAAAUAGUGAAUAAAAGGUAUUGGGGAUUGGAGAUUAAAUACUUUCUUUACUUGGUUGGAAAACUGAAUCAGGAAUAAGGAAAGUUGGAAAAUCAUUUCUUUUUUUUUCUUCCUAUUUUAUGAGUGGAAAAUCUUUUGAUGAUAAACGCUCGAAAAAACACAAGAAGUAUACAAAUAUGUAAUGAAGUGAAUGAGAACAAAUUAAAAUAUCUAAUUGAUUGAAAAUAUAAGAUAUAAGGAUACAAGGAUGAAUGAGUUAAGAACGAUUGGAUAAUAUGAAUUUCAAUGGUGCCGUGUCAUUUGCGAAAGCGUUCGCUCCUCUUCGAGUGCGUGAGAUUCAAUCAGUUAUUAUAAUAGGGAACUCGAUUUGGAAAGAACAAGAAAAGUAGCGAAAAAAAUGUUAAAAAAAACUUUGGAAAAAAGAAAGAAAAUAACGAUGAUACCCGAAUGACAAAAGUGCGUGUAUAUUGAUGAGAAUAAACGCAUACGUGCUCAUACUGCGAAUAGAUGUUAUAUAUAUUAUUAUGAAGAUGCUACAUUAAAUGGCAGACGCGAUGUUGAAUAGAUACUAAUAUUGAAUAGAACUAAUAAUAUA